UCCUAAGGCAAAAACCUCUUUAUAUAUACGUACAAACAUACAUAUAUAUAAAGAGGUUUUUGCCUAUAUA
rnacentral:pre_miRNA from 1 species